UCGUGAGGUAACUGGCGCUGGCCCACGCCGACUAAGGGAGACGCUCUAGGCACCGGGAUGGGGUCCCUGUCCCCGAGCUCUAGCGGGUCAGAACGCCUUCCUGGUCCGCGGCCGAGUUGAAAGUUGUUCCCACUCCCAUAAGUCCAAGGACCAGCGUCAGCUGUGUACCUGCCGAGCAGCCCUACUGAGGACUGUGCUCGGCCUCUGAAUAUCUAGACGGACACGAGCCAUACCCAGUGACGGCCCAAACCAGCGAACGCUGUCUGGCAACGUUUUUUGCAAUUUGUCUUAUUUAAAAACCAUAUACGGGCUUGGAGUGGUGGUGCCUGUGGUCCCACCUACUUGGAAGGCUGAGGUGGGAGGAUAACUCGAGCCCGAGAGGUCGACACCGCAGUAAGCGGUGCUCGCGCCACCGCACUCCAGCCUGGGCAACAGAGCGAGACCAUGUAUUAAAAAAAAAAAAAAAAUCCCCAGUCAUUUCUUCCGCUGUCAAACACCGUCUACAAGAUUCGAGUCAAACAACGUGAGAACUUGAAAUACGUCUCCAUUCUUUUUCCUUAGUACUCUCGUUCAUUCACUUACGGAACUGAUCUGCCUUACUAUUUCCACAAAAACUAGUCAUCAGCAAGAAGCUACCUGUGGGGUGCACAUUCUCAGGUCAAAUGACUUAGAAGCAACUUGAGGCAGUAUGGGAGCAUAAAAGACAGCCAGGAUGCCAAAGUCUCCGAGCAGUGAGUAGGAGUCUAAGAAGUUGGAAAGAUUCAUGGACCUCUUCCAGUAUGUGAAAGCCACAACUGUGGAGCAAAUGGGAAAGCAGCAAUGUGAGAACAGAUUAAUACACAGAGCAUCCAGAGAGAAAUACCCAGCAAUCAGUUGGAGCUGAAAGGCCCAAGAAGGAGAGGGAAUAGAAGGAUGACAUGCAUAUUUGGAUGAAAUUCACAUAUAGGAGGAAUCCAAAAAAGUGUCCGUAGAGAUAAAAAGGUUCUAGAGGUUGCCUGCAUUCCUUGACUCCUGAAUCUCUAUCACCUUCAGAGCCAGAUAUUUCCUGCUGAGUCUUUCUGAGGCUGCAUCACCCUGACCCUGACUCUUCCAUCUCCAUCCUUCAUGCUUAAAGGAUCCUGGUGAUUACAUUGGACCCUCCCGUACAAUCUAGGAUACAUUUUUAACCUUAAGGUCUUCAAGGGAUCACCACACUGUCUUCCACAAUGGUUGAACUAAUUUUCACCCCCACCAAUGAUGCUACCAUUGAAUUUAAUUAUGAUGCUGUCUUCAACAUGGAAGUUACAUAAGAAAAUCUGAAGCCAUUGUGUAUUUCAGCUAGGCUUCUUCUUAGGAAAUAGAGGUCAGCCUAGUGCAGUGAAGUCUGAUUGGAGGUGGACAAUGAGGAUCCUGCCAAGGUGCUGUCCUUAGCUUCUGUUCAGCCUAAUGUAAGUUCAUUCCUUUUGAUUACAGUCAUUUCAAUGACUUUUUUUGCCCAUAAAAUUAUGACCACAUAAUUCUUAUAGACUCUUCUAGCUUUUCAAUGUUGGGGAAGAAAGCUCGCCUAAUAAGCAACUUUUCAACCUCAGAAGCUUAAGUAUUAUGAAGCAAUAAGACCCAAGAUUUGAUGAAAGAAAAGCCAGAAUUUAGUAUGGCUGAAGAUAGGUGGGGAUACAGACCA
rnacentral:lncRNA from 1 species